ACAAAUAGCUGGUCUAUAUCAUAAGCAAUGUCAAGGUCAAAAAAGACUAAGAAACUCUUCCAAUUUAAAGAAGGCUAAAGAGUUGUGAUGACUAAGUGCCAUACAGAAUCCUGGAUUAGAUCCUGGACAGGGAAAAAUAUGUAAGCACAGCUGAUUGAUUGAAAUAUGGAUUAUAGAUUAGAUAAUACUAUUACAAUGUUAAAUGUCCUGAGUUUGCUAAUUGUAUUGUGGUCAUAUUGUGGUCAUGUAUGGAAGUGUCUUUGUUCUUCAGGAAAUAAACACUGAUAUGUUUAGGGUUUAAAGGGCAUGAUGCGUCCAAUACAAUCUCAAAAAGGUCAGAAAAUCAUUUAUAUAUAGUAUACAAAUAUUUAAAUAUUUAUAUGCAGAGAAAAAAUUUAUAAAGCAAAUAGUGAAUUGAACUGAUUCUUGUGGAUAAAAAAUUUCUAGUCAUUUCUCCCUCUCGCUGGGAAUUUCUUGUAUUAUCCUUGGAACUUUUCUAUCAGUUUAAAAUUAUAUCAAAAUUACAAAUUGCCCAAAGCAAAGAGGGGAAGACAGACACACAAACCUCUACUUUUUUAGAAGUAGUACUAAACUAAAAUUGGAGAAAGAUAAGUACUAAUUUUCCAAAUAACCUUUUGAAAAGUAAUAAGGGAAGCCAGAUGUGGUGGCAUUCACCUGUAAUCCCUCCCAGUUUGGGAGGCUGAGGCAGGAGUAUUACAAAUUCAAGGCCAGCCUCAGCAACUUAAUAAGACUGUUAUGGUUUAGAUAUGAGAUGUCCCCCAAAAGCUCAUGUAUGAGACAAUGCAAGAAUGUUCACAGCUGAGGGGCUGGGGAUGUGGCUCAAGCCGUAGCUCGCUCACCUGGCAUGGGUGCGCCCUGGGUUCGAUCCUCAGCACCACAUACAAAC
rnacentral:lncRNA from 1 species